rnacentral:tRNA from 1 species
GCCGGGGUGGCCGAGCGGCCUAAGGCGGCGGGCUGCAGACCCGCUACACCGCGGGUUCGAAUCCCGCCCCCGGCU